AAAAACAUAGCCUGUUGAGAAUUUAUAAUAGGUGAGCACUGCCCAAUGAAAUUAUUUAAUGGCCGCAGUACUUUGACUGUGCUAAGGUAGCGUAAUAAUUUGACUUAUAAUUAAAGUCUAGUAUGAAAGUGUUUAUGGGGGAUAACUGUUUUAUAAAAACUAUAAAAAAAUUUCUUAAUAGGUGAAAAUUCCUUUAAAUAAUUAUAAUAGACGAGAAGACCCUAAGAAUUAUUAAUUAAUAUUUUAAAAUUAUUAUAAAAUUUUUGUUGGGGCAACAAAUUUAAUAAAUAAAUAAUUAUAGUAUAUAACAUAAUAAAUAUUUUUUAUAAGAAUUUAAUUACCUUAGGGAUAACAGCAUAAUUAAACUAUUAGAUUGUGACCUCGAUGUUGGACUAGGGACUUUUAAGGUUAGCCAUUUUAAAAGAUUGUUCUGUUCGAACAUAUAACCCUACAUGAUCUG
rnacentral:rRNA from 1 species